rnacentral:lncRNA from 1 species
AAAAGUUCCAGUGAAACGGAUCAAGAGUCUGUAGGGUUAAUUGUUAUUCUUGUUGGACUUAUGUAAAUAAUCAGAUUUACUGAGACUAGACUAAUUUUGUGAACAAAUUUUACGUAAUUAUCUUUGGUAGAAAGGGAGUAAUUUUAGAGAGAAAAAUUAUGUUUCAAUAGGAUCUAUUAAUACAACUGGUGGAUAUUAAAUUCCAAUUGUGUUUAUUGAUUUUGAGUUUUGUUAUUUACCUAUAAACUGGACUGGAUCCUGAAUUCUUCUAGUUUCCUCAAAUAUCUGACCACAAAUCUCCAAACUCAAAUUUCCAAGUUUCUCCCAUCUUUUGACUUGGGAUCACUAAGAAGGAAAUUUUGCCCAAAGUCCUGCAAACGGAAUACAAACUUGCCAUAAACCUCAGAGAAAUCAAUGCAACAGGUCAUGUUAGAAAACCAUCAUGCCUCUUGAAGAUCCGAAGAUCACCAGAGACAUUCAAACUGCAAACCCUUCUGCAAGAAGACCUUGGCAGAUUGCCACCACCUGCCCUCACUAUCUGCAGCAAUGCCCUAUCAAAUAUCUGAUUUCUCCUACCUUUGGGAGCUCACCUUUAGGAUGGCCUCCUGGAAUGAGACACAACUGA